GCAACAUGGAUGAAUUUCAAAAACAUCAUACUAACUUUUAAAACAGCCAGACCGAAAAAAGACAGUAUGAUUCAACUUAAAUCAAGUUACAGAAAAUACACAACUAUAGACAGAAAGCAAAUUAAGUACUUACUGGGGUAUGGAAGUGAAGUGUGGGGCUUGUGUGCAAAGGAAUAAGAGAAAAUUUGGCGGGGAGGAGAGUAGAAUUAAAUGUUCUAUGGUGCUCUGGCCGGUUUGGCUCAGUGGAUAGA